GCCGGGGUGGCGGAACUGGUAGACGCGCCGGAUUCAAAAUCCGGUUCUCGAAAGAGAGUGCGGGUUCGAUUCCCGCCCCCGGCACCA
rnacentral:tRNA from 1 species